rnacentral:rRNA from 1 species
GAUGAACGCUGGCGGCGUGCCUAAUACAUGCAAGUAGAACGCUGAAGGAGGAGCUUGCUCUUCUGGAUGAGUUGCGAACGGGUGAGUAACGCGUAGGUAACCUGCCUGGUAGCGGGGGAUAACUAUUGGAAACGAUAGCUAAUACCGCAUGACAACAGUUAUUGCAUGAUAACUGUUUAAAAGGGGCAACUGCUCCACUACCAGAUGGACCUGCGUUGUAUUAGCUAGUUGGUGAUGUAACGGCUCACCAAGGCUACGAUACAUAGCCGACCUGAGAGGGGGAACGGCCAAACUGGGACGGAGACACGGCCCAAACACCUACGGGAGGCAGCAGUAGGGAAACUUCGGCAAGGGACGGAAGUCUGACCGAGCAACGCCGCGGGAGUAAAGAAGGUUUUCGGAUCGGAAAGCUCUGUUGUAAGAGAAGAACGAGUGUGAGAGUGGAAAGUUCACACUGUGACGGUAACUUACCAGAAAGGGACGGCUAACUACGUG